UCUCUGUAUGUUCGGACGCUACGGAUCUACAGGAAUCGGCUUGGGGAUAGCGGCGCUCUUCAGGUGGCCCGGCUGCUCCUUUUGCAGCCUGCACCGG
rnacentral:SRP_RNA from 1 species